rnacentral:rRNA from 1 species
CAGUUCGGAUUGUAGUCUGCAACCCGACUACAUGAAGCUGGAAUCGCUAGUAAUCGCGAAUCAGAAUGUCGCGGUGAAUACGUUCCCGGGUCUUGUACACACCGCCCGUCACACCAUGGGAGUCGGAAAUGCCCGAAGUCAGUGACCCAACCGUAAGGAGGGAGCUGCCGAAGGUGGAGCCGGUAACUGGGGUGAAGUCGUAACAAGGUAAC